ACACCGGCAGCUCAAGUGGUAGCCGCUUUUAUCGGGCCUAAAGCGUCUGUAGCCGGUCUGAUAAGUCUCUGGUGAAAUCCCACAGCUUAACUGUGGGAAUUGCUGGAGAUACUAUCAUGACUCGAGGUCGGGAGAGGCUGGAGGUACUCCCAGGGUAGGGGUGAAAUCCUGUAAUCCUGGGAGGACCACCUGUGGCGAAGGCGUCCAGCUGGAACGAACCUGACGGUGAGGGACGAAAGCCAGGGGCGCGAACCGGAUUAGAUACCCGGGUAGUCCUGGCCGUAAACGAUGUGGACUUGGUGUUGGGAUGGCUUCGAGCUGCCCCAGUGCCGAAGGGAAGCUGUUAAGUCCACCGCCUGGGAAGUACGGCCGCAAGGCUGAAACUUAAAUGAAUUGGCGGGG
rnacentral:rRNA from 1 species